AUUGAACGCUGGCGGCAGGCCUAACACAUGCAAGUCGAACGGUAACAGGAAACAUCUUGCUGUUUCGCUGACGGGGGGCGGACGUGUAAGAAAUGACUAUGAAACUUCCUGAUGGAGGAGGAGAGCUACUGGAAACGGUUACUAAUACCGCAGAGCGGCGCAAGACUAUAGAGCAGGUCCCUCGGGCCUCUUGCAGUCGGGAGUUCGCAGCUGGGAUUCGCUUGUGGGUGGGGUAACGGCUCACCAAGGCGAAGAUCCCUAGCUGGUCUGAGAGGAUGAUCAGCCACACUGGAAGUGAGACACGGUCACGGCUCCUGCGAGAGGCAGCAGUGGGGAAUAUUGGACAAUGGGCGCAAGUCUGAUCCAGCCAUGCCGAGUGUGUGACAAAGGCCCUCCGGUUGUAACGUACUCUUACCGGGGAGGAAGGGCGUAAAGUUAAUAACUUUCGAAAUUGACGUUACCCGCAGAAAAAGCACCGGCUAACUCCGUG
rnacentral:rRNA from 1 species